UUUUAAACUCCGAAUCUAUAAUCUUCCGUAAACGCCAAACUCACACACCUUGUUUGCCUCGUGUAGAAGGACAAGGUGCUCCAAACUAAUCCAUCCACCAACUCACUCGCGGGAAUUCAAGUAGGAAAAGCUUGCAACCACCACACAUGCCAUCUUUACAUGUUGAUGAGGAUGAUGCUAAGAAAAGAAGUAGCGUUGAUGCCUAGAUACA
rnacentral:lncRNA from 1 species